GUCCGUUACAGCUUCUUUGUAGCGGUGUUCAACAUUGGAUAGGCAGCCACACAAGUCAAUGGUGAACUGCAUGACACUGUUAGUUUGGGUCACUUUGUUAUAUCAAAAUGAAUCAAUAGAUGGGCAUUAAGUGCAUAGAGGUUUUAGUUUUGUAUAGAAUAAACAGAACCAUUGUCCUAUAUGUCAGCACCUAGUUGACAUGCAGAAACAGUUGGCUGAGCAUUUUGAUUCUUCAGUUUUCUGAUUUU